rnacentral:misc_RNA from 1 species
UAGUGAAUCAUCGAAUCUUUGAACGCACCUUGCGCUCCUUGGUAUUCCGAGGAGCAUGCCUGUUUGAGUGUCUUGAAGUCAUCAACCCCGAACCGUUUUUGUGCGGGCGGGUUUGGAUCUUGGGGGAUGCUGCCGUGAGGCUGCUCCCCUCAAAUGCGUCGGUUGGACCUGUGGGUCGAACUCGACUGGGCGUUGUACCAUCCUCGCUCUCCCCGAGUCGUUCCCCUCCCGAGUCCUCCUGUGACUGGCCUGUGGAGUGGCAGUCAAAACUGAACUUUGAAGUCUGACCUCAAAUCAGGUAGGACUACCCGCUGAACUUAA